UACGGGGGGAGCAAGCGUUGUUCGGAUUUACUGGGCGUAAAGGGCGCGUAGGCGGCCACCGCAAGUCGGUUGUGAAAUCUCCGGGCUUAACCCGGAAAGGUCAAUCGAUACUGCGGGGCUAGAGUGCAGAAGGGGCAACUGGAAUUCUCGGUGUAGCGGUGAAAUACGUAGAUAUCGAGAGGAACACCUGCGGCGAAGGCGGGUUGCUGGGCUGACACUGACGCUGAAGCGCGAAAGCUAGGGGAGCGAACGGG
rnacentral:rRNA from 1 species